GUAGCUCAGUGGUAGAACGUUCGCUUCACAUGUGAAAGACCCCGGGUUCAAUCCCCGACAUCUCCA